CCUACGGGAGGCAGCAGUGGGGAAUAUUGCACAAUGGGGGGAACCCUGAUGCAGCGACGCCGCGUGAGUGAAGAAGUAUUUCGGUAUGUAAAGCUCUAUCAGCAGGGAAGAAAAUGACGGUACCUGACUAAGAAGCCCCGGCUAACUACGUGCCAGCAGCCGCGGUAAUACGUAGGGGGCAAGCGUUAUCCGGAUUUACUGGGUGUAAAGGGAGCGCAGACGGCUGUGCAAGUCUGGAGUGAAAGGCGGGGGCACAACCCCGGACUGCUCUGGAAACUGUAAAGCUGGAGUGCAGGAGAGGUAAGCGGAAUUCCUAGUGUAGCGGUGAAAUGCGUAGAUAUUAGAAGGAACACCAGUGGCGAAGGCGGCUUACUGGACUGCAACUGACGUUGAGGCUCGAAAGCGUGGGGAGCAAACAGGAUUAGAUACCCGAGUAGUC
rnacentral:rRNA from 1 species